UACGUAGGGUGCAAGCGUUAAUCGGAAUUACUGGGCGUAAAGCGUGCGCAGGCGGCUUUGCAAGACAGAUGUGAAAUCCCCGGGCUUAACCUGGGAACUGCAUUUGUGACUGCAUGGCUGGAGUGCGGCAGAGGGGAUGGAAUUCCGCGUGUAGCAGUGAAAUGCGUAGAUAUGCGGAGGAACACCGAUGGCGAAGGCAAUCCCCCUGGGCCUGCACUGACGCUCAUGCACGAAAGCGUGGGGAGCAAACAGG
rnacentral:rRNA from 1 species